AGUGAACGCUGGCGGUAGGCCUAACACAUGCAAGUCGAACGGCAGCACAGUAAGAGCUUGCUCUUACGGGUGGCGAGUGGCGGACGGGUGAGGAAUACAUCGGAAUCUACUUUUUCGUGGGGGAUAACGUAGGGAAACUUACGCUAAUACCGCAUACGACCUACGGGUGAAAGCAGUGGAUCUUCGGACCUUGCGCGAUUGAAUGAGCCGAUGUCGGAUUAGCUAGUUGGCGGGGUAAAGGCCCACCAAGGCGACGAUACGUAGCUGGUCUGAGAGGAUGAUCAGCCACACUGGAACUGAGACACGGUCCAGACUCCUACGGGAGGCAGCAGUGGGGAAUAUUGGACAAUGGGCGCAAGCCUGAUCCAGCCAUACCGCGUGGGUGAAGAAGGCCUUCGGGUUGUAAAGCCCUUUUGUUGGGAAAGAAAAGCAGCAGGUUAAUACCCCGAUGUUCUGACGGUACCCAAAGAAUAAGCACCGGCUAACUUCGUG
rnacentral:rRNA from 1 species